AGAGUUUGAUCCUGGCUCAGGACGAACGCUGGCGGCGUGCCUAACACAUGCAAGUCGAGGGGAAAAUCACUUUCGGGUGAUGAGUAUACUGGCGGACGGGUGAGUAACGCGUAGGUGACCUAUCCUUAUGUUUGGGAUAACCUUGCGAAAGCGGGGCUAAUACCGGAUGUGGUUCUCAUGGUGCCUGCCAUGGGGAUUAAAGUUGUCUGGGGUGACCCGGGUAACGCAUAAGGAUGGGCCUGCGUUCCAUUAGCUAGUUGGUGAGGUAAGGGCUCACCAAGGCGACGAUGGAUAGCUGGUCUGAGAGGACGAUCAGCCACACUGGGACUGAGACACGGCCCAGACUCCUACGGGAGGCAGCAGUGGGGAAUAUUGGACAAUGGGGGCAACCCUGAUCCAGCAAUGCCGCGUGUGUGAAGAAGGUCUUCGGAUUGUAAAGCACUUUUUGAGGGGAUGAGGAAGGACAGUACCCUCAGAAUAAGCCUCGGCUAACUACGUGCCAGCAGCCGCGGUAACACGUAGGAGGCGAGCGUUAUCCGGAUUUACCGGGCGUAAAGCGCGUGCAGGCGGUUUGGAAAGUUGGAUGUGAAAGCUCCUGGCUUAACUGGGAGAGGUCGUUCAAUACUUCUAGACUAGAGUAUGGGAGAGGGAGGUGGAAUUCCGGGUGUAGUGGUGAAAUGCGUAGAUAUCCGGAGGAACACCAGUGGCGAAAGCGGCCUCCUGGCUCAUUACUGACGCUCAGACGCGAAAGCUAGGGUAGCAAACGGGACUAGAGACCCCGGUAGUCCUAGGUAGUAAAGGAUGUGAACUUGGCGUUGGUGGGUUCUAAUCCAUCAGUGCCGGAGAUAAACGCGUUAAGUUCACCGCCUGGGGACUACGACCGCAAGGUUAAAACUCAAAGGGAUUGACGGGGGCCCGCACAAGCAGCGGAGCGUGUGGUUUAAUUCGAUGAUACACGAAGAACCUUACCAGGGUUUGACAUGCAAGUGGUAGGGAUCCGAAAGGUGACCGACCCUUCGGGGAGCUUGCACAGGUGCUGCAUGGCUGUCGUCAGCUCGUGUCGUGAGAUGUUCGGUUAAGUCCGCUAACGAGCGCAACCCUCGCCGUGUGUUAUAUGUGUCACGCGGGACCGCCGGUCUUAAGCCGGAGGAAGGUGGGGAUGACGUCAAGUCAGCAUGGCCUUUAUGUCCUGGGCUACACACACGCUACAAUGGCCAGUACAAUAGGUAGCGAAGUCGCGAGGCGGAGCCAAUCCCCAGAGCUGGCCUCAGUUCAGAUCGCAGGCUGCAACUCGCCUACGUGAAGAUGGAGUUGCUAGUAACCGCAGGUCAGUCAUACUGCGGUGAAUACGUUCCCGGGCCUUGCACUCACCGCCCGUCA
rnacentral:rRNA from 1 species